CAGAUUUCCAGAGAUUUUGACCAUAGGGAAGCUGGGGAGAAAGCUGAGGGGCAAUGAAAAGUAGGAUUUUGUGCCUUGCCUCCCUUUGGCCUCACUGAGACGAUCAUGGUUGUUGCAGAAACCCACACCCAUGGACAGCCCUUUGACCCAUUUCCACCCACAUAGAAGGGAAUCCAGAGAACUUUCCUGCCUUCUGGACGUGAAGAGAACAGCUGAGUUGAAAUGCCCUUCUGUGGAUUGCUGAAAAAAAGGAAAACAGCUGAAAGAUGGAAGUUCUGUUCCCUUUUUGGAAACAUGCAGUUGUGUUGCCUCGUUGGAGAAGCCCAGUCGACGCGGGGAGGGCUUGCAGACACAGGCGGAAGCCAGCGGGGAGAGGAUGCGGAGGUGGCCCGGGGAAGCCCCUGCAGUGGCCAGCCUGGCCCGCCUGCCAGCUCGGUGGACACAGGAGCCGAGUGUGAGAAGCAGGCAGAAGCUGAGGCCGAGCCGGGCACGGCUUUCUAGAUUAGCUCUCUGCAGCUUCCCUGUUUGGAUUGGCCCGAAGCUGGCACAGGAGGCCUAGCCAGCUUUCCGAGGGGAAGCCGGUCUGCCAGCCGGGCAGGGACGGUGCCUCCCAGCGCCUCUGCCCUCCUACCUUGCCCAGGUUGCGGCAGCUCGUGCAUAAAUGGGGCAGCGCGUCCACGUCUCUCCUUCCCUCUGCACAAAUUGGAAAUGACUAACCUUGCCAUAUUUAGUGCAGCGCUAACGGCCACUCGCCUCUGAGGGGUAAUCAUGCAGGCAUAAAUUCGGAAAGUUGCUAAGCUAUGAGCAGUCUUAUGAGCAUUAAAAGUGUCCUCUUUGCCAGAAAGGUCAUUCAUAACUUGGCUACCCUGCUGAUGUACAGUCAGUGAUAUUGAUUGAUUAAUGUAUGAAAGCACUGGAUCCAUUUGCUUCUAUGAAAGAGAAUAAAGUGCAGUCGACUCUCUCUUUAUUUUCACCUCAUCCUUUUGUUUGAAGGACAUUUUUCCCCUUCUUUUUGUUUUGCCGGCUAGGUUUAAGGGGGUUACAAAAAGCCAGUUUCUGCCAAGUAAUGUGUUCACAAAGAGAACAUUGAUUCACAUCAGUGUCGCUUGAAUUACCCUUAAAGGUUUGCCAAGGAGUUGCUCUUAUAUUAACCUUCUGUUCGUGGAGGAAGAAAUAAAUAAAUAAGUCAUAAAGUCAAA